UACGUGAGUGGCAAGCGUUAUCCGGAUUUACUGGGCAUAAAGCGCGCGCAGGCUGUGGAUUAAGCCAGAUGUAAAAUCCCGUAGCUCAACUACGGUUCGCAUUUGGAACUGGUUCACUAGAGGUCAGGAGAGGAAAGUGGAACUCACGGUGUAGCGGUGAAAUGCGUAGAUAUCGUGAGGAACACCGGUGGCGAAGGCGGCUUUCUGGACUGAUUCUGACGCUGAGGCGCGAAAGCAUGGGGAGCAAACAGG
rnacentral:rRNA from 1 species